CGGGUGAGUAAUGUAUGGGGAUCUGCCUGAUGGCGGGGGAUAACUACUGGAAACGGUAGCUAAUACCGCAUAAUGUCUGCGGACCAAAGCGGGGGACCUCCGGGCCUCGCGCCAUCAGAUGAACCCAUAUGGGAUUAGCUAGUAGGUAAGGUAACGGCUUACCUAGGCGACGAUCCCUAGCUGGUCUGAGAGGAUGAUCAGCCACACUGGGACUGAGGCACGGCCCAG
rnacentral:rRNA from 1 species